rnacentral:misc_RNA from 1 species
GUUGGUAAGGAAAGACCAGUACAUGAAUCUGAUAUGAAUAACUUGGUUUACCUUAAAGCCAUCAUCAAGGAAACGCUGCGAUUAUACCCUGCCGGACCACUUUCUGUGCCGCAUGAGUCCAUGGAGGACUGCUCUGUAGCUGGCUACCAUAUUCCAGCAGGCACAAGACUCCUCGUUAAUCUUACCAAGAUUCAUCGUGAUCCUAGGGUGUGGUCUAACCCUUCUGAGUUCCAACCAGAACGAUUUCUUACAAUUCACAAAGAUUAUGAUAUUAGGGGC